AGCGCCUCGUCGACAGCCUUACUGGAGAGCAAUGAAAUAUGAAGCAAAAGACCGCAGACUUUAGACACACACGGAAUAUUUCAGAAGAUAACAACAGAGAUAUUGUCUUCUUCUCUUGUAUUGUAAUCUGCUAUUGGUAUUGGAGAGAGGUGGCUGAAGGGCUGAAGACAGGCAAAUGAAGAUGCACAGAUGACAGAUGGCGAAGGUCGGGACAGUUCGAUGCACAGGUAUUGGAGAGAGGUGGCUGAAGGGCUGAAGACACACAAGAUGAUACACAGAUGACAGAAGACGAAGGUCUGGACAGUUUGAUGCACAUGUAAGUAGUCUGGUAGAGUUUCAGUACUGAAUGAUGAGACCAGACAACCAUGUGUGUUUGGUGCUGGCUUUUAUAGAGGAACUGAUGAGGCUGAUGGCAGACAGGUGUGGUGAUUCUUGAGUGUGCACAGGUGGUAGCCAGAAGGGGUGAUGGGAAAUGUAGUGUGCUGAGGUGACUGGUCUGGUGACUGAGGAUUGUAACAGAUCGAUACAGUCUUCUGUAUGCAAGACACUUUGUAUUAAGUGAGCAUUUGUUAUGUGCUUGUUUGUGUGUGAGGUUAAUCUAGGGCUGCACAAUUAACUGAAAUUAAACUGAAAUCACA